rnacentral:rRNA from 1 species
UACGAAGGAUCCUAGCGUUGUCCGGAUUUACUGGGUUUAAAGGGUGCGUAGGCGGAUAAAUAAGUCAGUGGUGAAAGCCGGCAGCUCAACUGUCGAACUGCCAUUGAAACUGCUUAUCUCGAGUAUGGUUGAGGUGAUUGGAAUGUUGCAUGUAGCGGUGAAAUGCUUAGAUAUGCAACAGAACACCAAUUGCGAAGGCAGAUCACUAAGCCAUUACUGACGCUGAGGCACGAAAGCGUGGGGAUCAAACAGG